AGAAAGAAGAAGAAGGAGAAGAGGAACCAAGUCUAGAGUAUGUUUUUCUUGUAUUUUUGUUUGUCUAAUCUCUUUUUCUUGAUUAUAUGAUAUUGACUUUGUUUAUUUGUUGUGUGUGAUUGAAUUCUUUUUCCUCCUCAUGGUGGUUUUCAAAAAACCCUGGGCUUGAACAAGGGGUGGUGAAGUUUGGGUGUUGAUCAUUUUGUAUUCUUGAUUUUACAAUCAAGAGAGGCUCGUGGAAAGAUUGUGAAAAUUUCUUAGCUCGGACCUGAGGUAGCAAAUAGGAUUUCUUUAUGGCACGCGUGGUGACGUGAGGAGUUCUAUCAUCGUGGGGUGUAUGGCCUGGGGUAAUCCUAUGGACGGAAAAACGAUCAUCUUAGAACGCCAUUUAAAUUAUGUUUUGUUUUAAGAGACUUUCCUAAUUAUCAGUGGGACUCAG